UCCCGCUUAGCUCAGUGGUAGAGCGCGUCACUAGUAGCUUACGUAAUCUUAUGUAAUCGCAUGACGAGGCCACUUGUUCAAAUCAGGUAGCGGGAA